GUAUCAGAAGUGAGAAUGCUGACAUGAGUAACGAUAAAGAAGGUGAAAAACCUUCUCGCCGAAAACCCAAGGGUUCCUAUGUAAAGUUAAUCUGCGUAGGGUUAGUCGGUACCUAAGACGAGGUCGAAAGGCGUAGUCGAUGGAAAACAGGUUAAUAUUCCUGUACCAGUGGAUGAGUGACGAAGUUAAAGUUUUGUAUUGUCUUAUUAGAUUGAUAAUGCAGGGCAAUAGUUUCCUGGAAAUAGCCUCCACAUUAGGCCGUACCCCAAACCGACACAGGUGGGUGAGUUGAGUAUACUAAGGCGCUUGAGAGAACUAUCCUGAAGGAACUCGGCAAAAUAUGCUCGUAACUUCGGAAUAAGAGCAGUCUGUAUUGGGCAACCAACUACAGAUGACACAAAAAUGGGGGUAGCGACUGUUUAGUAAAAACACAAAAUCCUGCAAAGUUGAAAAAUG
rnacentral:rRNA from 1 species